AUACGGAGGGUGCAAGCGUUAUUCGGAAUCACUGGGCGUAAAGGACGCGUAGGCGGGUUGGCAAGUCAGAUGUGAAAUCCUACAGCUUAACUGUAGAACUGCAUUUGAAACUGCUAACCUAGAGUAUGGGAGGGGGAGAUGGAAUUAGUGGUGUAGGGGUAAAAUCCGUAGAUAUCACUAGGAAUACCGAAAGCGAAGGCGAUCUCCCGGAACAUAACUGACGCUAAGGCGUGAAAGCGUGGGGAGCAAACAGGAUUAGAUACCCUUGUAGUCC
rnacentral:rRNA from 1 species